UGCAUCUGAUGAAGUAAACUGUAGCUCACGAAAGCUUAUGCUGAAAUAAAUUUGUUAGUCUCUAAGGUGCCACAAGUACUCCUUUUUUUUUUAUUGUGCAGUGUAGAUGGAAACACAACUAAGAUCAAACUACAUUAGACCACAGUUAGGUUACUACCAUGCUUAAACACUGUAGAUUUUGUCCAAGGUGAUUGUGUGAUUUGGCAACAAUUAAAAUGUGGCUAGGUCCUGGUCUACAUUGCGAGAUGGAACCUGAUUUUCGUUGAUUUUGUAAGUAGUCGGGACCAAUGUGGGCAGAACCAAAUCAUGUUAUAUCCAUAGUAAGGAACUGUAGUCUGACCCUACCCCUGCCAGUAAACUCUUUACUGUAGAAGCAUCUGGAUUUAAAAUUAAUUCAUUUGCCUGUGGAGGGCGCUUUGUGCGCAUUUGUCACCUUUCAAUCUUCAUCCCAUUUAAUGCUUUGUGUGAGCCCUCUGGGCUCAGAGUAGGGCUCACAAACCCAUCUUCCUGUCUGAGGUGGGAGAAGUGUCACAGAACUGGAAUCCAAGCUAUAGUAGACAUCAAUGUGAGGAAAAAAAGCGGGGGGAAACCCUUCUGGUUUCCGUAUUUCCAAACUUUCUGCUAAUUCAGAAGCACCCUUUUAUGAGACACUUCUGGAGUCUGGGAAAUCCCAAUUUUACACAGCUUCCUGCCUGAUUUCAACUCUGCCUCCUGAGGAAAUGCAGUGGCUUUGACAAUAAAGAACAAUAAAAUGUUCUGUAAGCAAAAAAUGAGAGAUCAUUAUCAGAUUUUGCCCUUGGGCUUUGUUGUUGGUACUGGCUGGUUUUAUGCAAAAGUACACUCUAGAAGAGUGUUUUUCAGAGUAUGGGUCGUGACCCAGUACUGGGCUGUGGAAUGUCAGGCACUGGGUCGCCUUGCUGAUCCAAAUUAUAACCAUCAUUGCUUCACAGUAGCUCUAAAGGGCCACGCAGCAGGGACCCGGAGAGGAGAGAGAGGCCUGAGGAUGGUUACUGACUGCAAUAAAGGAAGCUGGGUUUUGAGACAAUGCUGAUCAUCUUCCUCUUAAAGUCCCCCUGCAGCAGGAACUGAGUAAGCUGCAAAGAGCCAUGUGCACUGAGGUUAAAGCUCAUCUUGCUCUUUUCCUGCCCCAUCUCUGCCACAGCGGACAGUAAGCCAAAAAAACCCCCAAACAAACAAAAAAAAAAGCCAAGUGAAAAAAUAAAGGGAGGGGAAAAAUAUAACCCUCUUUUGCUGAGUUCAGCUGUGGGGCUAGGCCACUAAAAACAUGGGAGGAAUAUGCCCCAUUUUGUAAAACAUUGUGGAGCUGACAUUCUGAAUUUACAAUAGUUAAAAACAAAAAUAAAGAAAACUUAACAAAUCA